CAGCCGCCGCGGUAAUACCGGCGGCCCGAGUGGCGGCCACUAUUAUUGGGCCUAAAGCGUCCGUAGCCGGGCUGGUAAGUCCCCCGGGAAAUCUGGCGGCUUAACCAUCAGAAUUCCGGGGGAUACUGCCAGCCUAGGGACCGGGAGAGGCCGGGGGUAUUCCCGGAGUAGGGGUGAAAUCCUAUAAUCCCGGGAGGACCACCUGUGGCGAAGGCGCUCGGCUGGAACGCGUCCGACGGUGAGGGACGAAGGCCAGGGGAGCAAACCGGAUUAGAUACCCGGGUAGUCCUGGCUGUAAACGAUGCGGACUUUGUGUCGGACAAGCUAUGAGCUUGUCCGGUGCCGGAGGGAAACCGUUAAGUCCGCCGCCUGGGGAGUACGGCCGCAAGGCUGAAACUUAAAGGAAUUGGCGGG
rnacentral:rRNA from 1 species